GCAUUUGCAGACUUUAGCUUUCAUGUUUAGCGAUCAAAAAAAAAAAAAAAAAAAUCCUUCUGGGGAAGGUGGGCAGUUGUACUUCAUUUGAACCAUUGAAAUUUUCAAUAAUCAUCUUCCCUACAUCG